GAUUUUUGUUUUAGGAUCUCAGGCCAUGCCAGUUUUCUUUUAACCGAUUUUAUUUAUCAAACUUAACUUAAUUGAUACGAGCAUGGUUGCAGAGGGCACGAAUAUUAUUGUGAGGCGUUGGAGCAAUGGAGUAUAAGCUACUUGUAAUUAAAAGAAACUUUGAAAAUGUAUGCGGCUCCCAAUUGAGCGAUUAACAAUUUCAUUUCAUUAAAAAGAAAAAAGGAAGUGAUUAUUUAAUUUUGAUUUGAAAUUCGAACAUUCAAGUCUGACCGUUGAUUUCAUCGGUUGUUU
rnacentral:lncRNA from 1 species